rnacentral:rRNA from 1 species
UGGGGAAUAUUGCACAAUGGGCGCAAGCCUGAUGCAGCCAUGCCGCGUGUGUGAAGAAGGCCUUCGGGUUGUAAAGCACUUUCAGCGAGGAGGAAGGUGGUGAGCUUAAUACGCUCAUCAAUUGACGUUACUCGCAGAAGAAGCACCGGCUAACUCCGUGCCAGCAGCCGCGGUAAUACGGAGGGUGCAAGCGUUAAUCGGAAUUACUGGGCGUAAAGCGCACGCAGGCGGUUUGUUAAGUCAGAUGUGAAAUCCCCGGGCUCAACCUGGGAACUGCAUUUGAAACUGGCAAGCUAGAGUCUCGUAGAGGGGGGUAGAAUUCCAGGUGUAGCGGUGAAAUGCGUAGAGAUCUGGAGGAAUACCGGUGGCGAAGGCGGCCCCCCUGGACGAAGACUGACGCUCAGGUGCGAAAGCGUGGGGCAGCAAACAGGAUUAGAUACCCUGGUAGUCCAGCGCUGUAAACGAUGUCGAUUUGGAGGUUGUGCCCUUGAGGCGUGGCUUCCGGAGCUAACGCGUUAAAUCGACCG